rnacentral:rRNA from 1 species
AUUGAACGCUGGCGGCAUGCCUUACACAUGCAAGUCGAACGGUAGCGCGGGGCAACCUGGCGACGAGUGGCGAACGGGUGAGUAAAGCAUCGGAACGUGCCCUGGAAUGGGGGAUAACGUAGCGAAAGUUACGCUAAUACCGCAUAUUCUGUGAGCAGGAAAGCAGGGAAUCGCAAGACCUUGCGUUCUGGGAGCGGCCGAUGUCGGAUUAGCUAGUUGGUGGGGUAAAAGCCUACCAAGGCGACGAUCCGUAGCGGGUCUGAGAGGAUGAUCCGCCACACUGGGACUGAGACACGGCCCAGACUCCUACGGGAGGCAGCAGUGGGGAAUUUUGGACAAUGGCGGAAGCCUGAUCCAGCCAUGCCGCGUGAGUGAAGAAGGCC